rnacentral:rRNA from 1 species
CCAAAACAUCGCCUCUUGCUAAAUCACAUAAGUAUAAGAGGUCCCGCCUGCCCUGUGACUAUAUGUUUAACGGCCGCGGUAUUUUGACCGUGCGAAGGUAGCGCAAUCACUUGUCUUUUAAAUGGGGACCUGUAUGAAUGGCAUAACGAGGGCUUAACUGUCUCCUCUUUCAAGUCAAUGAAAUUGAUCUCCCCGUGCAGAAGCGGGGAUAAGCACAUAAGACGAGAAGACCCUAUGGAGCUUUAGACACUAAAGCAGUUCAAUACUAACACCCUCGACAACAGGGUAUAAGCCAACUUGAGCCCUGCCCUAUUGUCUUUGGUUGGGGCGACCGCGGAGAAAUAAAAAACCCCCGCAAAGACCGAAUGUACUACAUUUACAACCAAGAGCGACAGCUCUAAACAACAGAACUUCUGACCAAUAAUGAUCCGGCAACGCCGAUCAAUGAACCGAGUUACCCUAGGGAUAACAGCGCAAUCUCCUCUUAGAGUCCAUAUCGACGAGGGGGUUUACGACCUCGAUGUUGGAUCAGGACAUCCUAAUGGUGCAGCCGCUAUUAAGGUUCGUUUG